UUAUAUUUAAUAGGCCUAUCUUAAUAUUAAUUGCCAUUAAUUUACCUCUUGCCAUUAGUUAUGGAUAUGUUAUGGGUUUUUUCCCGGCGACAUUGACUAUCUGGGCUUCUGGCUUUGCAUUUCCGAGUCUCUCAUUUUCUGUCACCUUUUCAGGCUGAGGAUGUUCAGACAAAAUACUCCCAUCAGAGGACCGAGGAGAACGGAGCAAACAAGACUUGCAACUUUCAGAGUCGGUCUCCUCCUCCAUCCUGAUAUGGAAACAUUCCACCCACAAAAAGUUCCCUUUUCCUCACGCUUGCGCACACACCUGCUGCAAACACAGCGGCGUGCCCCGCCUCUCUCCGCCUCUCUCCGCCUCUCUCUCCCUGGAUGCGUCUGCUCCGGUAACUUUUUCCACGUUUUAUAAAGUCGCUAAAAAGACGGAGCUCGUCUGCUGGAAUUUUCCACCCACAAUUUCCUUCAUAGCAUCAGACGUAAAAUCCAAAAUGGGUCUGCCUGUAAUUUACACUACUGACGGAAGCUUAGAAGAAAAGUUAAGGUGCCAGUGUCCUUGUCUGCUGAGGAGUUCAACGCUGUCCUCAGAAAUGCGUUUCCAAGAGUGGGCGACACUGAUUUUGAGUUGGCAAGAGUAGAUUGUCAUAAAGAAACCACAAGACUUCAAGUUUGUCCACUAUCACCAUCUGUGCUGAAAGCCAGCAGAGAGCUGAAUCGAUCAGCUUUAUAUAUAUACUCCCAAAGGAUGCAGAAGAGGUCUCGAACUCUGGCCAAAACCUGGACCAAGAUGAUAUGGGCACCCAUUUUAAGCUCUUUCUAGGCUUGUUGUAUAUUUCAUAAUGGCAUAUUGCAUCUUUGGCCAACAAAUGGGGCGUUCUGGUAUUUUGAAGGAUGUACAGGAGGUCCAUACUUCACAAAACUGCCUGGAGAGACCUAAUACAAUGGCGAGGGAUGAUUUACAUGAGUGGCGUGCACUUCACAAGACAAGAUGAGGAAUACAUACAAAGUCUGCAAACUGAGCAGGAAAGGGACACUCUGGUUCCUGAAGAGACCACUCCUCAAAACAUCUCAUCUGGGUCCUCUGAUACCACUGCUGGCUUCCUGGAUUUGAGUCAUGUCAAAGAAACUACCGAACCAGAUCUGAAAACCUUACUGACAACUCUGGCAUCAAAAGUCUGGAUUGGAGAGACGCCCAGCAGUAAUAUGAUCAAUGUAUGCAGAGAAAACAUAAUGGAUGGUGCCAUGCGAGCCUUUACAAGAAGGAGUUUCAAUCCAGAGGCCAAAUUAAGCGUCAUAUUUAUGGAUGACUUCAUGCAAGCAGAAGGUUCAGUGGAUGAGGGGGGCCCUACACGGGGGUUUUUCCGACUGCUCUCAGAGAUAGCAGCCUAUUUACAGGGCCACAGUAAGAACCUGUCCCUGGACAGCCACGCAUUACACAGAGGUCUCUACAGAACCUAUGGAGUUAUGAUGGCUGUGGCGCUGCUGCAUGGAGGAGUGUUGCCUUCUCUUUCCGGAGAGGCUCUACCAAAACCUCUGCUCUACACCCACAUUACCACCCGCUCUCAAAGAGGUAGCAGAUCCAGAUUUGCAGUGGAAACUCAGAAAGAUCAGUGAGGCCGGUGAUAUAACAGAGGCUAGAGCUGCCAUUGAGGAAGCUGCAGAGAGCCUGUCCUUGUUGGGGUCCCUGAGGCGUCUCACCACCGUGGAGGGACGGGACCGGCUGGUUCAGGCUGCCACAAGUUUCUACGUGGAAGGACAAAAGAAGCCUCCCAACAAGCUACAGUGCUUGGACCAGAUUUGACUUAUGUUUUGAGGAAAAUGCUUGGACUUUCUGAAGGACUGAACACACUUGGUCUCCUGGACCUGAUGAAAAUUCACGCCAGCAUCUUGAAGGAGGUGUUUUCUUCAUCUGAGAGGCCUCUAAAGGCCACAGACUUGAUCUCCCUGUUCCAAGUGACACUGUCCCCUCCUGGAAGCAACCGGUGGCGCCUGGAGAAGAGAGUGGAAGGGUACUGGAGAGACUUUCUUCUAGAUGUGGAGGAUGGUGUGUUUGAGGUCACAAUGGAGCAAAUUUUGGUGUUUGCCUCUGGAGCCGACAGAGUACCCGCUCUUGGUUUUUCUCCUCACCCAACGCUGAACUUCAUUCACGACGCAGGGCGGAAGUACCCUGAAGCUAACACCUGUCUUACUAGAGACCCUUGAGAGGAGCAUCAGAUGGGCAAGAGGGAGGAUUCUCCAGUUGGACGAUGCAGAUGAACUUCUUCCAUUAGUGACUCAAGAAGCAUUAGAGACCUCCGGGUAUCAAGCCCCAUUGGUCCGGACAGGUGAUUUUGGACGAUCCAGCUACCUAAUCACUGAAGAACACCUGAGAUUCCUGCUUUCAUGUGGAUUUGUAGCUACGCAAAUUGCUGAAAUCCUGGAUGUAUCAGUCAGUACAGUUAAACGAAGAUUGAGGCGCUUCAACUUGCCCUACCUGAUGAGGUCUGCACGUCUUUCUAAUGCAGAACUUGAUGAAGUCAAGUCAAGCUGCAGUCGGUUGGAGAAAAUGAAGAGAUGGGAGCAAAUGCUGUUUUGGCCAGACUGGCUGCUAUGGCUGUUUGAGUGCAGAGGAGAAGAGUGAGAGAGAGUUUGAUUGGAGUGAAUCCAGAGCGUUGUCUCACCGACUGCACCGGAGAACCUACAGUGCUGCAGGACCCAACUCGCUGUGGCACAUAGAUGGGAACCACAAACUCAUCAGAUGGAGAAUAGUGAUCCAUGGCGGAAUCUGUGGCUUCAGCAGGCCGGUUGUGUUUUUGCAGGCUUCAGAUAAUAACAGAAGUUGCACAGUGUUUGACCAGUUUGUUCAAGCCACUGCUAGGUAUGGAGUCUCGAAUAAGGUGUGACCAUGGGGGAGAAAACAAUGCUGUCUGCUUGUUCAUGAACAUUUACCGUGGAUUAGAAAGAGGAAGUGCCAUCCGGGGCAGAAGUGUCCAUAACCAGCGGAUGGAGAGGCUUUGGGGAGAUCUCUGGAGAGGAUUAUACAACAGUUUCUUGCCAGUCUCUUUGCCAACUCUGGAUUCCCUAGCUUACCUCCCCUCUCAAGGACGGUAUCCUGCACUCUAAUCCAGGGGAUAAUGAAUCCCUGAGGAAUGAGAGGGUUAGAUGCCGUGAUAAAACUUUAUGUCCCUGCCACCUUUUCAUUUCUUUGCAGCUCACAGAUGUGUUUUUGUCAGUGUAGUUACUGGGUCAGUUGCAGAACACAGGCCCUCCUCCAGCUGAUAGAGAAGAUCUCUCCUCUCCCAUCUGUCAGUAUGAAAUGUGAAUGGCUGCAAGACAAAAUGGAUAAACUGACAGCACGUGUGUCUGAUUGCAGGUUUAGAGACAAAAACUGCUGUGUGCAGUGUCCAGUGCACAGAGAGAACUUCGCAGUGGGAGAGCCAUUCAGACAGCUGCCCUGUAACCACUUCUUUCAUUCAGAAUGGAUAGUACCAUGGCUGGAACUGAGGAGGUGUGCAGUGGCUUUGGACCAGCAACGGACCCCUCGGCAACCGGUCCGGACCACAAGGACCGCGUGGACCACUAGUUCAUAUUUCUACAGACGAGACAGGAGGAUGCUGGGAGAAAAGAGAGGCGGGAAGCUGAACUACCUGGUGAGGUCUGAAAAUGAAUCUGUGUCUGAUAGAUGAUUCCAGCCGUCGUCGUACUUGAAACAAGUUAGCAUAGCAUCGCCCUGACUGAGCAGAACUCCAUUUAGAAAACAAGCGUUUUAAAAGAUGUUUGCUUGUCAUCUUGAAGACAGACCUGACAGAGCAGGAAUUCAUAUGUUCAACAAAUCAGCAUCAUUUUGAUCAGUUUAUUGAAAUGAAAUCACAGCAAAAUGUUUAUUUUGGCUUCAAACCGCUGCAGGAAACCAGAUUAUUGAAUUAGAUCUGAGUGCAUAAACAGCACUUUAAUAACAUAACAUCUUUGAGUCCAACAGAUUACUGUAAGCUUCUGAUUUCCUCUGGUAACAGUUCAUGACCUGUGUACUGGAACAUAAUGACUGCUAGUAUAUUGUGCUGGAGUCUACUGGUCCCUGGGUUGGUUUUACUAUGUUGUCUGUUUUGUGUUGACUUGUACUGACUACAGAUGAAAAACAGCCUUCUGGCUAAAUCUGGCAUAUUUACUGAAAUGUUUCAGCUUCAAUGAAAAAUCCAGCUUUAUCUUUGAGGAAUGAACAGAGAGACGAGAAAAACCAGAACCUGGAGGAAAGAGACUAAAGAAGUGGAGUUUCUGCUGAGUUCUGAGAUCAACGUCUGAAGGACUCGGUACGCUUCAAACAAACUAGAUCACGUGACGUCUGUUUAUACCUGCUCCAAAUGUCAACGCUGGAAGACAAAGAUCACAGAGUCCAGAUGUUUCAGAGGCCUGAACCAGGUCCACUGGAGGCCUCUGGGUUUAACUGCUGUGCUUUGAUCCAGUGUGUAGUGAGGAGGAAGAGGCGCUGAAUAAACAGGGACUACAAAAACACUACAGACCACAUUUGUGUUCAGGCUGAACAAACCUUUGUUCUUGUGAAAGUCUGACUGAAUCAAAUCUUAUUGUGUCUUCAUUCUCUGAGUCCAUUUUAACAGCUGGCUGCUUUCUGUUCUGUCACUAAAUGUGUUGCUUUCUGUUUAACUUGCAUCCUGCCAGGGUUGGUGCUGGAAUAAUCUGAGCUGGACACUUGAGACUUGGACUCGAGUCCUUUUCAAUGUUCUCAUUAAAGGAGUCGACACAAAGA